AUGCAGUCGAGCGAGAACCGUAGCAAUACGGGGACAGCGGCGAAAGGGACAGUAAUGUGUAGGUACCUACCUCCGGGUUCGGGAUAGCUGCGGGAAACUGCAGGUAAUACCGAAUAACGUCUCCGGACCAAAGGUGUGAUUCCACCUGGAGAGGGGCCUGCAUCCUAUUAGCUUGUUGGCGGGGUAACGGCCCACCAAGGCGACGAUGGGUAGCGGGUGUGAGAGCACGACCCGCGUCAUUGGGACUGAGACACUGCCCAGACACCUACGGGUGGCUGCAGUCGAGGAUCUUCGGCAAUGGGCGCAAGCCUGACCGAGCGACGCCGCGUGCGGGAUGAAGGCCUUCGGGUUGUAAACCGCUGUCGUAGAGGAGGAAAUGCAGGAGGGUUCUCCCUCCUGUUUGACCUAUUCUAGGAGGAAGGACGGGCUAAGUUCGUGCCAGCAGCCGCGGUAAGACGAACCGUCCAAACGUUACUCGGAAUUACUGGGCUUAAAGGGUGCGUAGGCUGCGCGGAAAGUCGGGUGUGAAAGCCCUCAGCUCAACUGGGGAAUUGCACUCGAAACUACCGUGCUCGAGGGAGACAGAGGUAAGCGGAACUCAAGGUGGAGCGGUGAAAUGCGUUGAUAUCUUGAGGAACACCGGUGGCGAAGGCGGCUUACUGGGUCUCUUCUGACGCUGAGGCACGAAAGCCAAGGUAGC
rnacentral:rRNA from 1 species